GAUGAACGCUGGCGGCGUGCCUAAUACAUGCAAGUCGAGCGAACAGACGAGGAGCUUGCUCCUCUGACGUUAGCGGCGGACGGGUGAGUAACACGUGGAUAACCUACCUAUAAGACUGGGAUAACUUCGGGAAACCGGAGCUAAUACCGGAUAAUAUAUUGAACCGCAUGGUUCAAUAGUGAAAGACGGUUUUGCUGUCACUUAUAGAUAGAUCCGCGCCGCAUUAGCUAGUUGGUAAGGUAACGGCUUACCAAGGCAACGAUGCGUAGCCGACCUGAGAGGGUGAUCGGCCACACUGGAACUGAGACACGGUCCAGACUCCUACGGGAGGCAGCAGUAGGGAAUCUUCCGCAAUGGGCGAAAGCUUGACGGAGCAACGCCGCGUGAGUGAUGAAGGUCUUCGGAUCGUAAAACUCUGUUAUUAGGGAAGAGCAAAUGUGUAAGUAACUAUGCACGUCUUGACGGUACCUAAUCAGAAAGCCACGGCUAACUACGUG
rnacentral:rRNA from 1 species